rnacentral:lncRNA from 1 species
AUGUUGGAUGCAUUGACACGUGGCUUGGGUCCCAUUCCUCCUGUCCUUCUUGCCGUCAGAUCUUGGUGGUGGCUAGAUGUCAGAAAUGCGGCCAGUUUCCUGCUAUCUCCUCCGGCCGCGGUGGACCUGCGGCUGAGACUAAUUGCAAGGGCAGAGAAGACAAUAACAAUAACAAUAACAACAACAACAAUAGUAAUCAAAACCAUAAUGUAAUUGUUGGGUUUCUACCUUGACAAAGUCUUCAAUUAGGA